UGACCUCUUUUCACUUUGUCAGUUGGAUUUAUGUCUUUAUUAGUCAUUCAAGCGUGGCAAAGGAAGUACCCUUUUAAAACUCAGGCACACGGAGUAUUUGUCUUGUAUCUGGUCAGUGGAAACAAAU
rnacentral:snoRNA from 1 species